ACAUGUCGAUGGUUGGUGGCAAAGGAGUGGUGACAGACAAGGAAGGAGGUUGUUGGUUUAUACGAACAAAUGGUUGUGGGAUUGAGAAAUCCGGUGCUGCUAAUUUAACAAGUUCCUGGACGCUAAAUGUUGAAGGAUCGAAGGCAGAGGUGCUGAAAUCAUCUUCAGUGUAUGAUGAUGAUGAUCCCAUAUUGUUGAGGAAGGAGUCAGCCUCUUCAAUCUACAACAUACACCCCAUUGUUGGAGAUAUUUAAAGGGAAAAACAAAGGUUACAGCUGUUUUUGUAUGAGGUAAGAAUACAAUAGGUACAAAAGAAGAUAUUGACUUGGCAACAUGAUAAUUUUAAUAAAAAAAUGGAAAUAGGGUAUGACAGAAUAUGAUAAUGGAUUUUUUUUUAUAAAUAUUUCACAAAAAAUUAUUGAUACUUUUUUUCAUUAAAUGCUUAUUUUUAUUUAUCGAAUAAACAAAUUUAAUUUAUGGGAUAUUUUACCCAUCUAACCCAAAAAAAAUUAAUAUUUAUAAAAAUAACACUGGUUCAAAAAUAUUUACGAAAUGACCUGAAAUGCCUCACCAUUACUUGAUGAUUGUGUCAGACUUUAAAAAAAUAAAAUUUUUGAGUUUGGGACAUGAAUGGCUGGCACUAGGGUAUAUAUUUUUUAAAUUGUAUCAUACUGGUAUAUAAAAAAUACUAGUAUUUGAUUUUUUUUUUCGGUUUUGGCCAUGUAAUGGCCGGCACCAGAGGCAUUUAAAUUUUUUUUUUGGAUGGUGGCCAAUAGAUGGCCGGUACCAAGUACAUUUUUCGGCUCCCAAGAAACUUUUUUUUUACUUUGGGACACUGACGGCCUGCACUAGUGUCAUUUAAAAAUUUUUUUGGGUGCUAGCGAGUAGAUGGUCGGCACCAAGUACAUUUUUCGGUUCCCAAUGCAUUUUUUUUACUUUGGGACACUGAUGGCCGCACUAGUGUCAUUUUAAAUUUUUUUUUCUUGGUGCUGGCCAGUAAAUGGUCGACACCAAGUCCAUCUUUCAGCUCUUAAGGCAUUUUUUUUACUUUGGGACAUUGAUGGCCCGCACCACCUUUUUCGGGUCCCAAAAAUAUUUUUUUUGGUUUUGGGACACCGAUGGCCGGCACCAACUUUAUCAGAUUAAAAAAUAUUUUUUUCUUAUUUUGGAAUACUGAUAGGCGACACCAAGUAUUAGAAAAUUAGUUUUCUUAAUUUUGAGAAUCAGAUGGCCGACACCAAAUUUAUCAGAUAUAUAUAGGUGUUUUGUCUUCCAUUUUAGUUUUUGUUUACUUUAUUAGUUGAAAAUUGAGAUUAAAAACAUCAGUUUUUUCUGUUGAGAAGGAAGCAAAAAUUUUUUAAGAUGAGUUCCCAGAUUUUGUUUGUUUAUGUUCAUUUCGAUGGAGAAAUGAUAAAUACAACUGAAGAAGGUUGUGUAUUUCAAAGUCGGAAAAAAUGAAUAAGAUUUAACAAGCGUGUUUCGUUGGCGGAUUUAAAACAAAAAAUCAGUACAAAGAUAGCUACCCGUUGCAGAAAGCAAAUGUUGAGACUGUUUUACAAAAUUUUCGGUUGCAACAGAUCCGCCUAAGUUAUCAGAAAUGGAGCUUGAAGAUGAUGAUGAUCUAGGGACAAUGAUAGCAAUUUAUUGCCCCUCCUGAAAUGGAAAAUCCCAGCCCGGUUGAGUUGUUCGCGAAGAUAGCUGAACUGGAUCCCAUUCAAGUUGUAAUUUUAGCAAGCCAAUGUUUUGGAAUUGAUUUUGAUCUUAACAUCUCCUAGAAAGAUUAGUCGGGUUGUGGACGGUCAAUGCCAACUCUCGAAAAUCCAAAAACCAGUGGAUGUUCAUAUAGCAUCCCAAACUCAUGUACUUGUCUAGAGAUCCAUCCAGAGGUGUUGGCCACCACAGAAGAUGGUGACGAAGGGUCUGAUAAUGAUGACCAGUCCCAUUGUGAUCCCAACGAUGAUUUCAGUGACCCAAGUUUGGAUGACAUCCCUGAACACAUAGACGAGGAAGACCAGGUGGAGGGUGAUAACCCCCAUUCGGUCGGGAACACGGAACCUGAUAUAGUUAUAAGAAAUAAUCUAGCGUCCUUCAUAACCGACGUAGAUUCUGAUGUGGCUUCUGCACGCGAGUUCUCGGAAUAUACAAAAAUUGGCUGGCUCACCUACUUGAUGAUGAAUUCAACGAUGAAGAGUUGUUCGUAGGACAACAAUUCAAUAACAAGAAAGACUGUUUACAUGCUAUAAAACAACUUAGCUUGAAGUUAGGUGUGGAUUAUAAAGUAACGAAGUCGACGCAGUCUUUGUACGUAGGAGAAUGUUGGAAAGCCUCAAGUGGGUGUAAUUGGCAUGUUCGAGCCGCGCUAAUGCAACGGACACAAAUGUGGAUGAUAAGGAAACUAGAAGGUCCACACACAUACACGUCUGCUCGUAUGUCAUAAGACCAUUGAAAGUUAGAUGCAAAAACUAUAUGCAACUACAUAAUCUAUUUGGUGAAAGAGUCACCCACCAUUCAGGUGUCGGUCCUUAUUGCUGACAUGCAAGCUUGAUUCAAGUAUAAAGUGUCAUAUCGAAAGGCAUUGUGGGCAAAGUAAAUAGCGAUGCGAGAGUUGUAUGGUGACUGGGAUGCGUCAUACAACGAGCUUCAAGGAUGGAUAAUCGGGAUGCGAGAGUAUGUGCCCGGGAUAGUGAUUGAUUUGCAAACACUGUCAUAUAAAGGCUCAAACAGAUAGAUACAAUUGGGGAAACGAGUUUUUCACUGAUUAUUUUAGACGUGCGUGUGUUAGGGCCUUCCCUCACUACAAGCCGAUGGUGCAGGUGGACGAGGCUUGGUUCUACGAUAAAUACACGCAAAUGCUCCUGAUUGUUGUUGCACAAGACAUCAACGGUAUUUCCGAUUGCUUUGGCCAUCGUGGAGCGUGAGUGCUUCAAGUCUUGGGAAUUUUUCUUCAGAAAUCUACGGAGGCACGUUGUUAGAGAAGACAAUAUUUGCCUUAUAUCAGAUAGAUCGAAAGGAUUACUUGCUGUGAUAAGGCAAUCGGGGGUUCUGUGGAGGUCUGUUUAUUGCAUCCGGCACAUUACGGUAAACUUUCACAGAGAUUAUAAGAAUAAAGAUUGGAAAAAAUAAUUCUUGAAUAUGGGUAAAAAAUAUUGUUUGUAUUUAUUUCAAAAAUUCCUUUUCAAAUUUUUUCAGCCUGUAAGUUUUUAAAAUACUAAUUCCAAAUUGCAUAUGCCGCUUAUGAGUUAGAGCUGCAAAGAUUCAACCAGAGGUUCAUGAGGCUUGAAUCUCAGAUGUCAUCUUUACUAAUAGAUCUUGGGACAUGGUUGGGUAGCAUGGAAAACUAGCAAUGGACUUAAAAUUACGAUGAAGGGUUUCGGUAUGGGCAGAUGACGACCAACCUGGUAGAGGCAGUUAACUCUAUAUUAAGGCGCACACGUCAUUUGCCGAUUUUUACUGUUUUCUCGGUAACAUUAUAUAGGUUGGACACAUUAAUGCCUAGGAUGGGGUUGAGACAAGCUAAGCAGAUCGAGACUGGGCACGCGUACGUUGAGGCCGUCUGAAAGGCUAUGGCGGUAAAUAGUCAAAAGGCACAAACAAUGAACGCAAAAUUGUAUUCGCGUGACUCGGGUCUUUCACCUAGAUCGUACGCAGUUGAUUUGUGAAACAGGCGUUGCGAGUGCGAGAUAUUUCAGACUCUUCGAUAUCCAUGUGCGCAUGUUCAUGCAGCGUGUUCGAGAGCAAACUUAAAUGUUGAACAAUUCAUAGACGAGAUCUACACAUUGCAAUGCACAUUGCGUAUAUGGGGGAACAAAUUUCAUGUAAUCCCCGAUGUCUCAAACUGGGAAGUUCCACCACCUGCUUUCGAGAUGGUGCCUGACCGUAGUUUUCGUAGACAUCCUAAAGGUCGACCACAAUCGACGAGAAUUCGAAAUGACAUGGACAUCAGGGAGACGGGCGAACCCAAACUGUGCACUGUGUGUUGAACAUCUGGACACAACCGAUCAACUUGUCCACAUCGUGUUUAUGUUUUCAGUUAAUCGUCUCGUAAUGCCGGACUCGAAGAUGACGAAUGAUAUAUUAUUGAACGCAUGUUCUUGUAAAAACAUUGUAAAAAUAUGAAAAAUUAUACAAAUGAUAUACUUUAUUCAAAUUAUACAAUUGAUUAAUUAUAAUUAAUAAUACAUAUUUUUUCUUAUUCCUAAUUUAAAACACAUUAAAUUAUAAUACAAUAUACAUACAUAUUUAUUUUAAAACACAUUAAAUUAUAUUAAUUGAACUGAAAAUCAAAUAAAGUAAAAAGUGAAAUGAAAAUGAAAUUAAAAUAAGGGAAUGAAAUGAAAUGAAAUUCAAAUUUAAUAGAAAUUAAAGAAAAAAAAGAGAUUGAUUUGAGGUGAACUGCUAAAAAGAUGAAAUAUAUAAAUUAAUAUGGAAAAACAUAAAUUAAAAUGGAAAAAAAGACAACUUAAAUGAAAUGAGAAAAAAAUUAAAUGAGAAAAAAAAUUAAAUUUAAAUAGAAAAAAAGAUAAUUUAGAUGAAAUGGAAAUAAAAUGAAAAAAAAAGUUGAAAGGACAGGUCAGGCCAGUGUCAGGCUUGCGGCAGGCCUGACAAGUGGGCUUUUAGUGGCCGGCACCAGCAGACGGCCUGCAGGCACUAGGCCUGCUACGAUGUGACCCAAUAGGUCAGGCUUAAAAAAAACCAAAAAAAGGAAGAAGAGAAAAUUUUAUUUAAAUUUAAAAUUUUGAAAUGAAAUGAUAUUUAAAUUGAGAAAAAACUUAAAUAAAAUAUGAAAAAAUUUAAAUAAUAUGUAAUUGAGAUUACUUCUAAUGAAUAUGAAAAAAUAUGAAAUGAAUUGAAAAAAUAAUUUGAAUUGAAAAAAGAUAAAUUGAAAUUAGACUACUUGUGAUUCAUAUGAAAAAAAAUUGUAUAUUAGAAAAAAUAAAUUUAAAUGGAAAAAAAAUUAAUGAAAUGAAAUAUUAAAUGAAUAUGAAAUGAAAUGUAAUUUGUAAUGAAUAUGAAAUGAAAUGAAAUGAAUUUGUAAUUAUUAUGAAAUGGAAUGAAAGUUUAAAAGAAAAUAAAUUAUAAAUUGAAAUGAAAACAAAAACUGAAAUGAAAAAAAAUUAAUAUCUGAGCUACUUGUUAUUAAUAUGAAAAAAAUUGAAAUGAGAAAAAAUUAAAUUUAAAUGGAAAAAAAAGAUAAUUUAAAUGAAAUGGAAAUGGAAAUGAAAUGAAAAAAAAAAGUUGAAAGGACGUGUCAAGGCCUGUGUCAGGUCUGCGCCAACUUCAGGCCAGUCAACAAUGGCCAGGAAUUGGCCGGCACCAAGCCCAUUCGGCCUUCCAUUGGCCGACACUAGCAAGCUUGGUGUGACGUGACCCAACGGGUCAGAAAGUGAAACAAGUUUUUUUGGUUUUUUUUUUUCCAAUUUUACCUCUGCUCAGCCACUAUGGUCCCCCACUAUAAAUGAGGUACUUCAACUUAAAACCAGAUCACCACCGUUGAUACCUGCCGUUCACCGUUGACCGCCACUGUUAACUGCUGACCGUCGCCGUCCUCUGCCUACCGACAACUGUCGAUUACCUCCAAACACCUUUGACAACCUUCGUUCACCGUCGACCACCGUCAAUCACUCGAUGGAUCCUAAUCCUAAUCCUAAUAUUUUUUUAAAUGACAACAACCACGUUGCUAAAAAUGUGAAUAAGGUAAACGAGAAGAAAAAUGUCCCGUUUAAUUUUAAAUAUUCAUUUAAAUUCUUUUUUAAACGAGAAAUAUAACAUUUUAUAUUUACUAUAAACGUAGGGUCAGUAUCGAAUUGUGAGGCCCUGGUUGCAUGAUCCUGGUUAUUUUUCCAAUAAAAGAGUUUUACCGUAUUUGAACGUUGCAGGUUUUGAGAUAGCCGUGUACAUUAAGAUAUCUGAGCUGCGGGCCAAUUUAAUAUCGACCUUAGUAUAAAGAUGGUGCCCGGAGACACAUACGUUCCACCUCCCGUGUGGGGGUAACUAUUACACUGCAAGAUGUAGCAGUCCAAUUAGGGCUGUCUAUAAACGACGAAGCAGUGACUAAGUUUGGAAAAGUGCUCGAUCCGUGGGGUACUUGCUAGCGGUUACUUGGAAGAGUGCCCCCAACGAUGUGGAAGAACGAUUAACCAAUAUUAAAUUUACUUGGUUGAGAGAAAACUUCCAACAUCUUUCGAGUAGUCCAAUGCAGAUGGGCAUUAUCUACGUUGCAAGAGCGUUCAUUCUGCAACUUAUAAGUGAGAUGCUUUUGUCGGACGUCCAUCAAAAUAAAGUCAACAUCAUGUAUCUCCCUUUAUUAGAGGAUCUUGAGCUUGCCAGAAGAUUUAGUUGGGGCUCUACAGUAUUGGCAUGCUUAUAUCGUGAGCUUUGUCGAGCGACAAAGUCGUCUACAAAAACAAUGGGCGGUUGCUGCGUUCCACUGCAGUUUUGGGCGUUAUACCAAAUGCCAUUUCUAGCAUCAGUGAGCCACCAAUUGUAUGUGUGGCCACUCGUGAACUGGUAAAUAUAUAGUUCAAUUUUGACAUCUAUUUUUUAAUUGUAUAGUAUAGUAUACUCAUUUUUGCAAGGAAAAAAUAUCUAAUAAUUUAUUCUUUUUUUUAGAUGGGCAACUGUACCGAGAAUCAGACGAUCGUUCACCAUACCUGUGUACCGUAUGAUGAUCGAGACUCAUUUCGGGGAUGGCGUGAAAUACGCUUCUGAAUCUUUCUUUUUUAAAUACAAUAAUUGUACAAAAAAAAUUAACUAAUAACAUGUUGUCUAUAUUAUGCAGUUUUUAUGGAUGCUAUAUGUUGAGGAACGGAUCGCGAUGCUCAUACCAUCAUGGGUUACCGAGUAGCAACAACUAUUUGAAUGUUCCAUUGAUUCAUUUCCAUAUGGUAGAGUGGCACGAUAGAGGUCGGGUAUUGAGGUAGUUCGGUUGCGCACAACCUAUCCCGAACCCUUCCGUCGACAUCAAAGAAGUCAUCGAAAUGGACAAAAAGGGUUCGGGUCGGGACAUUUUAAAUUGGGCAGAAAAAGAUGAAACAUAUAUCUUUCUGUGGCAUGAUCGACAUUCAAGGCGCCUUCCCUUGUAUGUCUUAGAGGGAGGGUUCUCUCCUACACGCGAGUAUGCAGAAUGAUAUAUGGCAUACAGAAAGCCUUUUAUAUUCCAAGGUCAUUAUAUGUUGAUCCCGAAAGACGCGAGACCAAAAUCUUCUCGAUGGCAACAGAGGAACGCACGAUUGUGCCGUAAUCGAGUUUCGCCAUUCAGGAGCAUCGAAACUGAUUCUACCUAGAACCCCGAUCCCGAGCCUCAAUAUGAAGCAUCCGGCUCGUCAUCAUACCACUUGGAGCUGGAGCCCGAGCCCCAAUUUCCUCUAUCGUUCGAGGAUAUUUUUGGUGAUGACCCCGAGCCUUAACAUUCGACACGGUCCGAAUUGUCUUCAUACCACCCGGAGCUCGAUCGAGAAGCACAUACACCUAUUACUAAGGAUAUUCUUCCAUCGGCACCUUAAGUUACGCAAUACCUCUUAACUCUCGAUUAUGGUGUAUAUGGUUAUACUACUUUUCUAAGUACACCGGAUGGGAUACCAGAGGUCAGACCGAGCAACUAUCAAAUGCCUCAGCAAUGUGCACGACAUCGCCAAUGAAGGCAGCCGAACCGUUACACACCAACGCUGGGGACGUCGUCGAGAUCACGACAAUUUGAUUUUUAUCUGUAAAUAUUUACUUUAUUUUGUAAUUAUUCUAUUUUUAAUAUUAAUUUAAUUUCUCUAAAAUAAGUAUUUGUUUGAAUAAAUGACUUCAAAAUAUUUAAUAAAAAAAUAUAAUUUGAAUAAGUAAUAGUACACAACAAAUUAAAUUUACAAAUACAAUAAAAUACAAAUAUUCUUGAAUAUUAAUAUACAAAAAUAUAAAAUUUAAACAAAAAUAAUACGCAUUAAAUUAAAUUUAAACACCCAAAAAACUAUAAACAGAUGGGUAAAUUUAAUACACAAAUUUUAAAUUCAAACUACAUAUAACACAAACUAAAUUAAAUUUAAACACCCAACAAACUAAAAACAGAUAGGUAAAAUUAAUACACGAAAAUUUUAAAUUCAAACUAUAUAUAAUACGGGCUAAAUUAAAUUUACAGAUACAAAAAAAUACAAACAUUCUAAGAAAUUAAUACACAAAAAUAUAAAAAUGAAACAUUAAAUCCUAAACAACUACAUUGAAUUUAUAGAUAUAAAAAAUACAAAUAUUCUAAAGAAACAAUAUAAUUAUUUUGAAUAGUAGUUUCUUCACAAUUAGUCGUCUUAUACUUGAAUCGGGUUUACGUUGCAUCAGUACCCCACUUAUAAGUUGCGGAAUAAACGCUCUUGCACCAUAGAUAAUGUCCAUCUGCAUUGGACAUCUCGGUUAGCCAUUUAUGACGCAAUAAGUCAUCCUACCCUUAAUGGCAUAACCUUUAAGGUUGACAUGACAAUAUAUAAUUCAACUCUGUUAAAACAUGAUAGUAUAUAAUUAAACUCCGAAAUUCGGUUGUACACUACAAAAAACUUCCAUCUACAAUCCAUUACAAAAAACUCAUUUGAUGAUAACAUUAUCAUUUUGAUGGCUCUCUCAAAAAAAAAUUUCUCAUCCAUUUACACUAUCAGAACCCAAACCACCCCCUAUAUAUAGAGUGAGGGGAGGUUUCGGCCAUUUGAUUCCCAAAAUUAAUAAAAUUAAUAUUUUAAUACUUGGUACCGGCCAUCAGUGUUCCAAAAUAAGAAAAAAUAAUUUUUAUAAUCUGAUAAAGUUGGUGCCGACCAUCGGUAUCCCAAAACAAAAAAAAUUUUCGGGACCCAAAAAAGGUAGUGCCGGACAUCAGUGUCCCAAAGUAAAAAAAAAGUGCCUUAGGAGUCGAAAAAUGUACUUGGUGCCCGCCAUCUGCUGGCCGACACCCAAAAUAUUUCUUUAAAUGACACUGGUGUCGGCCAUCAGUGUACCAAAGUAAAAAAAAGUGCCUUGGGAGCCGAAACAUGUACUUGGUGCUGACCAUCUACUGGCCAGCACCCAAAUUUUUUUUAAAUGACACUGGUGCCGGCCAUCAGUGUCCCAAAGUAAAAUAAAAGUUCAUUGGGAGCCGAAAAAUGUACUUGGUGCUGGCCAUCUAUUGACCAGCACCCAAAAUUAUUUUUUUAAAAUGCCCAUGGUGCCGACCAUUACAUGGCCAAAACCAAAUUUUUUUUCAAAUACUGGUAUUUUUGUAUACUAGUAUGAUACGAUUUUUUAAAAAAAAACCCUGGUGUCGACCAUUCAUGUCCUAAACUCAAAAAAUUCAUUUUUUAAAGCUUGACACAAUCAUCAGGUAAUGAUGAGGCCAACAUACAAGGUGAUGCCAACCAUUGGGUUCCCAAAACCCAAAUUUACUGUUCAUUUCAGGUCAUUUUGGUGAAUGUUUUUGAACCAGGGUUAUUUUUGUAAAUAUUAAAUUUUUUGGGUUAGAUGAGAAAAAUAGCCUAAUUUAUGAGUAAAAUUUGUGGGUGGACAUAUAAUCAAAACGAGAUCAAUGUAAUAUUAGCCGUACUGAAAAGAGAAAUAUUUAACGCACUAACUUACAUUCAUGAUCUAAAAGAGAUAAAGAUCAAUUUUACAUUACAAGUUAUAAUUUUUGUCCGGAUAAAAUUACAAGGCUUUCUCACAAAUAUUGUGACUCAACAAGGUAUAAGUUUUGCAUGGAUAAAAUUAGAAAUCCUCCUCACAAAUUUUUUAGUUCAUUUGUAAAGUUUUACUUAUUAAUUUUGAUAUAACAAAUAUUAUAUUUUGAAUAAAAUUCAUUUUAAACAUAACUUAACAAGAAUUUCAUUUUAAAUGAUAUCUAAAAGAAAAAUGGUUGAACUCAUACUUUAAAAAUAUUUUUGAAGCCAAAUUAGUCAAACAAACUUUAACAUUCUUCAGACAUAUUAAAAUUGCUCAUGGCCAAAAAGUAUCGACAAGUAUCGAUAAAUUUAAAUGAGUAUCAAUAGAUUCACAAAUUUAUCGAUACAUUUUUUAGUACCGAUACAAAAAUGACAUUUUGUUUUUAAAAAUGUUUACCAAGUAUCGGUCUGGUAUCAAUACCUUUUGUUGGGUAUCGAUAAAUUUCUUCAAGUAUUGAUAAUGAUAUACUUUUAUCGGUACAUUUAUCGAUAUCGAUACGAAAUUGACAUUCUGACUUCUAAAUCUUUUAUCAAGUAUCAAUACGGUAUCGAUACCUCAUAUUUGGUAUCGAUAGAAUUUCCUAGGUAUCGAUAGUAUUGGUUCCAACUGUUACUAAAUUAGGCAUUAAAUGCUAUUGGUAUCGAUACUUGUAGAAAAAACAUCGAUACCUGUUGUUGUAGGUGACAUUUAUGCACUGGUAUUUUCAUCCCCAACAACUCUAUUCAAUAUCCCAACAACCACAACGGUUGGAAAUCAAUUGAAGGGUAUAACUAUCAGCUUCUAAAUGUCUUACAACAACAAGAGAGAUUAUUGAAGCAUAAAAAUCAAUCAAACAACCUUUGUGCUUAAUAUUUUCAUACUUUUCUUACAUACACUUGUGAGUUUCAUUGUUUAUCUAUUAGCUCAAGUUUUUUCUUUGUAAUUGUGCUUAAUUGACAAACACUUUGAUCUUAUCAGAGUUAUUUAUUAGUUUGCUUGUUUGUUUCUCUUUGAGAAGGUUUGAGUCUUAAGAUUUGUGUAGAAAUCUUAAGAGAGUUGUAAGGUUAAACCUUAUCCUCAAAAGUUGAUCAUAUAAAUGAAUUUGAGAAAAUCCUUAGUUGUGAAAAGCUAAGGUAAUGGAGUAGGAGUUUGGGGCCGAACAACUCUAAAUCAUUGUGUUCAAUUUUUCCAUCCUUUCUCUCAAGAUUCCACAAAAUUUUUAAAAUCCAAUUCACCUCCUUUUAGUAUUUUCAGAUUGAUUUAUUGAUCUAACAAUUGAUAUUAAAGCUAGUCUCUAAAAGAUAGAUUGGCAACUAAAAGAAGAUCUUCAGGAAAACUCUUCCAAUCGUUAACUCAAUUCACAAAGAAUGACGUUUACUUCUAGUCCAGUUUUCUAUGGAGAAUCUCAAUCUAUCUCCAAGCCUCAUUAUUUCAAUGGUGCAAAUUAUUCUUAUUUGAAGACGAGGAUGAUGUUAUUCAUUCAAGCCAAUACCUUUUGGCAUGAGAUAUCAUCAUAGAUGGUCCCCCUAUUCCACUCAAACAAGAAGGAGAGCUUCUAGUUCCAAAGAGUAAGAAAGAAUGAAAUGAGAAAGAUAGCAGGAGCAUUCAACUUAAUGCCAAGGUUAUGCACACUCUAUUUUGUAUAUUUGGUCCCGAAGAGUAUAGUAGGGUGUCAUCAUGUGCCAAUCUCAAGGAGAUAUGAAACAAUCUUGAAGUCACUUAUGAAGGUACAAAUCAAGUGAAGAAGUCCAAAGUUGGAAUUUUUACUCCCAACUAUGAAACCUUCAAAAUGAAGCCCGAAGAGAACAUCAAGGUAAUGUCCAAUCAAUUUACUAUAAUCAUCAAUGGAUUAAAGUCAUAUAGGAAGACUUAUCUCAAUGAAGAGGUAGUGAGAAAAAUACUUUGAAGCUUUCCUAAAUCAUAAGAAACUAAAGUAACUGCUAUUGAAGAGGAAAAGAAUUUAGAAACACUUACUCUAAAUGAGCUUAUCAGUUAUUUUCUUACAUAUGAGAUGGGGCUCAAAGAAGGGGUCAAAGAAAAUGUUGAAAAUAAGAAGGUCGAUAUAUCCCUCAAAUCCACAACAAUUGAAGAGAGUGAUUCAAGUGACGACGUGGAUAAGGAUAAAGAGAUAGUCAUGUUUGCUAGGAGAUUCAAGAGGUUCAUGAAGUCUAAUAAAAGAAGAAGAUUCCAAAAGAAGGAGGGAUUGAAACUUGAGUCCACUAAAGACAAAGAUCCUAUCAUUUGCUAUGAGUGCAAAAAGUCGGGACACGUCAAAUUCGAUUGUCCACAAUGGAAUAAGAAGGGAUCAAGCAAACAAAAGCUCAAGGUUAACAUUGCUACUUGGAGUGACGAAGAUUCUUCCAAUGAAGAUGAGCAUGAAGUAGCCAAUCUUUGCCUUAUGGCCAUAAAUGGACCAAAGGUAACUUCUAACUCAUCUAUUUCAAUUUUUUAUUCAUUUGAUGAGUUACAAGAUGCCUAUGAUGAACUAGGAUUAAAGUUUAAAAUUAUGAUUUCAAAAUAUAAGGAAAACAUUUCAAAAUUAAAAGAUGAAAAGAGUUCACUCUCCAAGAUUCUCCAAGACUAAUCAUGAACUUGAAAAUAAAAUAAAUGACAUGCAAGCUAUUAUAAAUGAUUUUGUGAAAAAGAAUUGACUUGUAUAAUUUGUUUUCUAAAGUUCGUGAUGAUCACGAAAAGCAACUUGAGUUGCUAAAGAUUGAAAAAACUCACCCUAACAAAGAUUUACCAAAAAGAUUUGAGAAAGGAGAAAGUUUAAAACAAAACUUUGUUAAACUAGUUUUAAUUUCUAUAAACAUAGAGUUCCCUUAAGAUUAUACAAGGCAAAACUUGUUAAAAGUGUAUGGGUCCCUAAAGUUAGUGCUACUCAAGACAAGGAAGCUCUUUCAAAAUGGAUACCUAAAGGGAGUAAGAUUUUAGGAACUAAUGCUUAUAGACCCAAAAGAAUUUGGGUACCAAAAAUCAAAGUUUAAUUUUAUGUUUGUAAGAAAAUGAGCAUUGCUUCAAAUUGGAAAAUUCAAUAUAAACUCGUGGUACCUUGAUAGUGGAUGCUCAGGACACAACCUGUGGCAUGAGUCAUUUUAUCAAAUUGAAGCCAAAAAGUGGAGGAGAAGUUACGUUUGGUGACAACUCCAAAGGAAUUAUUGAAAGAAUUGACUCUAUCGGUAAAAACUCUUCAAUAUUUAUUGAAAAUAUCUUAUAUGUUAACGGUCUUAAGCAUAAUCUCUUAAGUAUUAGUCAAUUGUGUGAUAAAGGUCUCAAUGUCAUCUUUGAAUCUAAUGGUUGUAAAGUAAUUGACAUUGUAUCUAAUAAGAUUGUGCUUGUAGGACAUAAAAUAGGAAAUAUAUACAUGGUGCAUUUAGAUGAAAUGCAUGAAUUAAACAUAUUCCUUAAUGCUAAAAAUGAAAAUAAUUCUUUUUUGUAGCAUAAGAAAUUAGGACAUGCUAGCAUGAGCAUAUUGCAUACAUUAGCCAAAAAUAACUUAGUAAGAGGUUUUGCUUAUACAUUGUGAAAACUCUUAUAGUAUUCUAAUAUAUUGAAUUUGCUAAAUGUGAUUUAAGCUAUGUAAUUUGAAUAAAUAUGUUUAUCGAUUACUUUGGUUGUCUUGUGAUGGAACUCACACAGAGCUUUCAUAGCUCACCCCUUUAUUUUCUUACUUUUCAGAUAACCCAUAAGGUCAGGAUACGGACUCGGCAUUCGGAGGGCUCGACUCGGAAUAUUGAUUUCUAUAUAAAAGUAUUUUAGACUGAUUAUUUUAUAAUUCUGGUUGUUUGAAACUAUAUUAACAUUAUUGUGGCAUGAGACUUAGUUUACAAUUUUUACUUAAUGCAUGCAUGACAUUUAAAUCAUUCAAGUUUUUAGAAUAUGAAUUUUAUCUAAUUAUACAUGAAACAUGAUUUUUAUUAAAAUUAUGUUAAUAUCUCUUUUCCCCUGCUAAAUUGCAAAUGUGUUUUGUUAAGAAAGUAACUCGGAUUUUCAACUCAACAUUAUCAUCGUUAUAAUGAAGAUAUUAAACUUAAUCAUUUUUUGAAACUCUGAGUUUUUCUGAAAAGAGACCAAAACUUCUAAAAUAAACAAACGUUUCUUUGAUAAUUUUGUCGGACCAUUUCAGUGGCUGAUGUAAUCCCCCGAAUUUAGGUCUAAUAUUUAAACCGAAUUGAGAAAGUUACAAUACUAAUCUAAUUAAUUCUCAACUAAAUCUAUUAAUAGAAAAAAUUGAGUUGUAAUGAUGUGACUACAUGAUUAAUUAUUGUUUAUUAUGCCAAGAAAAUUGGUAGCCAUAUGCAGUUGGAUUGAUGAUAAUCAUAAAGCAACAUAAACCUAAAAUAUAUGAUUUAUUUAUUUUUGCUCCAAUUUAAACGUGCUUAAUUGUAUUUUUAUUCAAAAGUCGUUACAUUUGAUUUGACAUUAUUACUUUUUUUAAUUUUGUAAUAAAAUAAUGUUGUAAAUAAAUCAAAGUUGUGGGAGGAGAAACACUCAUUUUAUUCAAGUAUCAUAGUUACUUAAAACUGUAUUUCUUUAAUAAAAUUUUAAUUUUAUAAGAAAACAAUUUUUUAUCUAUGAAGUGAAAACAGGAUUAUUUAAUUAUGUCUUGUCUUUCAUUUUGAAUUAGUGUAUUUAAAUUUUAUAUCGGAAAAUUACUUUUUCUUCUAAAAUCAAUUCAUUUUCAAAUGAAAAUUUUUUAGCAUAAAUUAUGUAAAAUUUGAUAGUUGAAUGAUUGAAACGUAAUUUUAUACAAAAUUUAAGGAUUGUUAUAUAUAAUUAUUUUUAUCAUGUAUUUAGUUACUAUCAUUUAUUCAAAUUAUUGAAGAUCCAUAAAUUUUUUAAUAAUUUUUAUUUAAAAAAUCAAUCUAAAACUGAAAAUUUAGUGACUUGCUUUUUUUUCUAUGGUAGUGACUAAUUGUUAGUUAACCUGUUAUAUUUUAAUUGAAAAUAAUGAAUAUUUUUUAUAUAUGUAAUUUAUUAAAUUUAAUUUAAUUAAUAAAAUUAUAUAUUUAAAUAAGAUAAUUGAUCAGCUUUAAAAAAAUUUAAAAUAUUUAUUUUAUAGCUUUAAAGUUCAAUAAAAUACGUAUAUAUUAUAUUUUAAUUGGCUUAAAGGAAUGUUAGCAUAAUUUGAGUUUGUAUAAGUGAAUUUGAUUUGCCUUAGUGUAAAUUUAUGGCUAAUUGAUUUGAAAGAUGUAAAUUAGUUAAAAUGAAAUGUUUAGGUAUGUUUUGAAAUAGUUUAUGCAGGAUAUAAGUGUGUAUUAUGCAUUAAUUGUGUUAAUGGUUUGGUUUGGCAUGAAAUAUGUAUCAAAUGGUUUAAAAUGUAUAAAAAAAUAGAGUCCACAUCGAGACAAUAAACUUGCCUUGUCACAACGCUGGCUGGCAGUUUGUGACUUCCCGACAUCGAGUGGUCAAACAUCGCAAUGUGGCAAACUAUUUGGCAACAUCACAACAUGGAGGAGGCCGACAUCGUUUUUAAAAUUUUACAAUUUGGUCCUAAAUCUUGCUCGAGUCAACAAAAGAGCUUUUGUGAGCUCCAUUAAGGCUCAGAUUUAGUUGAGAAUCAUAUUAUGAAUGUGUUUUAAGUCAUAAAUAUUUGUUUGGUUGUUAUAUUUACUGUAUUCUAUCAGAAGUUGCUCUGGUAACGGAUUUGACAUCUCGUAACUCAGAUUUGACGAUUAGGUCAGGUGAGGGGUGUUACAAAUACUUCCGUACCAAAGGCACCAUGGAUGAUGUCGCUUUGUUAUAGUGGCGUCGUAGGUCUAGAGAUGAGAAAUGAGGUGGAGCUACCAUUGGGACUUGAAAGGAAUUCCAGAGUAAUUUCAAUGGGCAAUUUUACCUAGAGUAUGUCGAGGAUGAGGCUCGGGCUAAGUUCCGCCGGCUUAUGCAACAACAUACAAUAGGACAUAUGUAAAGAAGUUCAGUGAGCUGAUGCUCCAAAUUUUUGAUUUGGGUGAGAAGAAGGUAUUUUUCUCCUUUAUGGAUAGGCUAAAACCGUGGGAAAAGCAAAAUUUUCAAUGCUAAGGGGUUACAAAACUUCCCAAAGCUAUGACCAUAGCGGAGUCCUUAAUCAAGCUUGUUCCGAAGAAAGACAAAUUUGAGUCUUCCAAGGCUAAAGAGAAGGGAAAUGGUAGGGGAGAUGAAGGACAAGUUGGGAACAGUAACGAUAAUAGUGGUAAUGGGAAACCAGAUAACGGGAAGUGGAAGCCUAACAACAAACCAAAGAGGCCAAUGAAAUGCUUCAUUUAUGACGAUCCACAUAUGGUAAAGAACUGUCCGAAACGAUCCGUACUUUUUUCUAUCAAAGGGGACGAUUAGUCAAACAAAGCAUCGAUGAAGUUUGGUUCAAUUUUGAGUUCUGUCGAUGCCAAGCGGGGAAAAGAGAAUAAGAAGAAGCCAAUGAAGUGGUUCUUAUGUUGUGAUACGUAUAGGAUACAAGACUAUCUAGAGCGAUCCAAUUUGUUUGCAAUCACUAAAAAAGAUGAAAUGGAGCUAGAGAAUGAGGCUUUAAAGCUUGGGUCAAUGAUACUCAAUUCUGGUAAAGCGAAGAGAGAUCACAAACAAAAAGGGUUGAUGUUUGUAGACAUCAACAUCGUAAGCCGAAGAAUGAGUGCUCUUGUUGAUAAUGAGGCAUUUAACUUGUUUAUACCGGAGAAAGCCGUGGGUAAACUUAGUCUCACAGUUAGCAAAUCGAUCAAGAAGAUCAAAAUAGUUAAUUCCAAAGAGGUUCCAAUCAUGGGAGUAACAUAAUGGGUUGAGCUACAAAUCGGCGAGUGGAAAGGCAAUUAAGACUUUGAUAAUUCAUUUAGAUGAUUAUGAAUUCGUGCUUGGCUUGAAUUUCCUCACUUGAAUUAAUGCUUUUUUGGAUCCUCUUUCUGAUUGCGUAACACCCUGUUAACGACCCAAUCGCCGAGUCUGAGUUACUAGGUGUCACAUUUGUUGCCAAAGAAACUACAAUCAACUACAUUUCAUUUAUACCAUUAAAUGACUAAUUUCAACUAAUACAUGCAUACAAUAAGAUAUACAGUCGUUUCUACAUUUUAAACGAGCUUACGAAUACUCUGAAGCUAACUCAAGGUAAAAUUAGUACCAAAUUUAAAAAAUCUUAAAACAUCGGAUUGACGUCGCGACGUCAAGGGGUUCCUCGUCAUGAUGCAAUCUACUGAGUGGGCCUCACCGCAACAAUCAAUACCGGACAUCACAUUGUGGCAUGGCAAGUUGUUCUCAUCGCGAAAACAAAUGUUAAAUGUCAUGACAUACUGAUUAGGGGUGAGAAAAAUUCGAUUCGACUCGAAAAAAUUGAAAAGAAAUUCAAAUUUCGAGUUAAACGAAUCGAGUUAUUUGAGUUAAUCGAGUUAUUUGAAUCAACUCGAAUUUUUUUUUCAAAUUUCGAGUUCGAAUCGAGUUGGGUUUUCGAAUUCGAAUAAUUCGAAUAAUUCAAAUAUCAAACUAUAAUAUUUUACAUUUUUACCCCAAACUCCCAAACCUUUUACUUUUCCCUCAAAACUUUUACUCCUUCCCACUUUCCCCCAAAACUUUUACUCCCCUCCCCUCCCAACCCCCCAAUCUACUCAAAAUUCAUUUCCCACCAAAAUUUUACUCUCCCAUUUGCUUUUUCUCAAAAUUUUACUUCCAAAAACCCUCAAAACCUUUUAUUUUUCCUCAAAAUUUGUACUCCCUCCCACUUUUUCCCUAAAACUUUUAUUCCCUUCCCAUCCUACCCCUCAUCUACCCCAAACCCUCCCCCCUCCAAUUUUUUUUUAAUAUUUUCCCUCCAAAAUUUUACUCCCCCUAUUUACUUUCCCUUAAACUUUUAUUCCCCCAAAAUUUUUAUUUUCUCCCUAAACUUUUACUUCUCAAAUAAAAAAUCAAAAUUAUCCCCAAAAAAAAUCACUAAACAUAAAUAGUAAUAAUUUUAUUUAUAUCUACUAUUUAUAUUAUUAAAUUAAAUUUCACAUUUUAUAAUUAUUGAAUUGUUUAGUCAUAUUGAAUAUUUAUAUUAAAAUUGAAUUAUUAAUUAUGCCAUAAAAUAUUCGUGUUAAAAUUUUAUAUUAGUAUCAAUUUCACAUUUUAUUUUUAAAAUAAUUUAUAUUAAAAAAAUCAUAUUUUUACAUUUAAAAUAUUUUUUAAUUCCAAAAUACAUAGUGACAAGAAUCUAAAGAUAAUUGAAACAACUAAGCAAGCAAAGAAGCUAACCAAUAUAUAAAAAAUUAAUAAAUAAAUUAUGAGGUGAUGAAAGUUAAUAAAAAAUUUGAUUAAAGUGGACAAAUUUUAUUACGAUGGGUGACAGUGGUUAUAAGGACACAAAAUUAUUUUUUAAAAUUUAACUCGAACAAAUAUAUUCGAUUCGAUUCGAAUUCCAUCUCACUCAACUCGAUUCGAGAAAACUUCAAAUAAAGUUAGAAUGAUAAAAUGAGAUUCGGAAACUCGAUUAACUCGAAAAUUUUUUAUUCGAUUCAAUCGAAUGCCCACCCCUAAUACUGAUUUCAAAUGGUCAGGUCUUAGUCUUUGGCCUCUUCUGCGAAACUCUAAACGUAGAAAGAGUUGGAGUCCGUUUAAAAUGCCUCAGAAGAAAAGUAAAAGGCAAUGGCGAAGAUCUUCAACCUGAAUACAUGAGUUAAGGCAUUUUGCAAAGAAUUUUGCUUUCCAGCUAAAGAGAGAUACAACUAAGGAUAAGACAAAAUGAACCGAUCAUUGACUACUUUUUUAUUCUUUUACGGAUUUUCAAGGUGGGAUCUCAACUCGUUAAUCAAGUUAUAGUUUGAGCAGCCAAACAUUGAAGAAUGUUUAUGACUGAGUUGGGAUUUAAAGCUGUGUUAUUAUGCAGCGAUGGUGAUGAUGAUGAGACUGUUUCUUCUUUUCACCAUCUUUUAGCACCAAUUUACUAACAGUUAUAGUGUUGUUUGGCGAUACCGUUUAAAGGAGGUAGUAAGGAUAGUGUUGUUGGCGAGCAAAAUGUUUUUUGGGUUGAAAGUUUUAUUGGAUUAAUUAUGGGUUUCGAUUUUUCCAAAUGCUUACGUGGAUCACCAUCAGAGACCAGUGCUUUCACCGGUCGUCAUCUUUGAUGGUUUCAAAGUGCUCAUCGUUCUUGCGUUCACAAUUAGAAUGAUAAUCUUGUGGUUAUGAUGUCUCCAAAGGUAUGGUUGUCACCCAAAUAAAAUUUGCACCAAUCUGGUUUUUUAUUCUUUUGUCACUUGUCAAUUUCGUUCUUUUUCUGCUAUUUAUUUAGGUUAAUUUUUGCUAUUAGUUCCUGCACUUUAUGAAAAUUGUGGAUUUAAUCCUUAUACUUUAAUUUAGUAAUUUUUUAUUUUUAUACUUUGUUAAAUUUUAAAAUUUCAAUCCUCACCAAAUUAUAACAAUUAGAUUCGUUAAGUUCUACUAUCUUCAAAAUCUAAUGCCACAAACAUAUUACUGCCAUUUGUGUUAAGAAUAAAAUUUCAAAUUUUGAAAAGUAUAAGGACUUCGAAUGAUUCAAUUGGAGAAUAUAGACUAAAUCUACAACUAUACGCAUAGUACAUAGUAGGUAAUUGAGUUUAACCCAACGAAUUCAACUGCUAUUGCUUGGAUGAGGACUACAAUUUAAAAAUUCAAAAAAGUACAUGGACUAAAAUUGAUAAAAUAAAUUAUAAAGACUAAAUUCACAACUUUUGCAAAGCACAUUGACUAAUUGUAGAAUUUGACCUUUUAUUUACAUUAUUUGAUACAAUAGUUAUACACACCAUAUAAGGGUAAGGCUUAACAAUCCCAAUAACCUAGGACCACUAGCCAUAUCUAGGGGAAUGACACCAACUUGACUACAGACUCCAUGUAUAAAAAAGCGUAAAAGUAAAUCCAAAAACCCUUAAAAAGCUUCACCUUACACCAUCAUUUUCCUUAUUAUCUUUAUUCUUCCUAUCUAUAAAAAGCAUAUAACUCAGUCGCCAUUUUCAGAAGGUUGAAUCCUCAUAUAAUCCAAAUAUUUUUUUCCAUAGAUCUUGAGGGUGAAGAACUGUUUGAAGUAUUCCUCCAUUCCCAUCCUCCUAAACAAUGGAGGGUUUUCUGCAUUUAUAAGACUCAAUGAAGGCCCUACCUCCGCCUCAAAGUUAGGACUCAAGUUGAAGGUAACUGUUAUUCUUUCUCUCUCUUUAUUGCAAGUAACCUUGUGUUCAACGCUGUGAUAAACCCCGUUGCUAAAUAUCUGCAUUUAACAUUUACACAUUUCUUAUAUACAUGCAUACAUAGGAAUAUGUGUUUUGUAAUAGUAAUGUGAAAAACUGGGUAGGGUGUUCUAUUAUUCAUUAAAUUAUGGUAAGUUUUUGUUUUACUCAUUUAAUUAAAAAAAAAGUUAUAAUUUAAUCACUAAAUUAUUCAAAAUUUUCACUUAAGUUACUGGACUAUUAAAAUUAAUGUUAUAUGACUUUUUUUGUUUGCACUAAUAAAAAACUAUUAUUUUCUUUUUCUUUCAUGAAACAACUUGACAUUGGCGGUCAUAUUUGUUCUACUCAUCGAUGAGUAUUGAUCCAUCAUAUCAAUCGUCAAAUCAUUACUUGGAGUUCGUUAGAGGAAUUUAAAAAAAAAACAAUCACCUAAUAACCUAAAUAAAACUUUCAAAUAAUUCAGCGAUCAAAUUGUAACUUUUUCUAGUUAAGUGAUCAAAAUAAAAACUUAUUUAUAAUUUAGUGAAUAAUGGUAGAAUUUACCAAAAAAAAAAACUUUGGACCUGGAAAAUGUCUCCAACAUUGACCACAAAAGCAUCUGGGUUGACGUUGAAAGGGAACCAAAGGCCAUUUUUUUUAACCUCAAGGCCAUCCACUCCAUUAAGUUGGUGUAGGAUAGUGAGGACAGUCAUAUCAGAGUGUGGAAUAAGACCCAUCACCGACUCUGGUUGUGGACAUGGAGGAUAAUAUGCCAUCCUCACCGCUUGCAUCCCAUCAUCAAUCAACUUCAUCAUCUCCUUUUCUUUAAUUUUCAAUGCUUUUCCCAUGAAACCAAUAAGUUUUGUGGCAAGCUUUUGGAGUUCCGAUAAGUAACACUCCAUCGUACUUCUGCAUCAUGAUGAUGAUGACAUCCAUUAAAUAUUAAGUAAACAUCACUUUAUGAGAAGCUUAAAGCAAAGAGGGAAAGAACCUUAAAGAAGGAGGUAGUUGUGGGAAGAGAUGAGGGCUGCGCCUAUGGAGUGGGUUAGUGAUAAUAUUCAAAGUGUCAACCCAAUCAUAUUUGCCAUCUGCUCUCAUCCUCCUUCCAUACCCUUCCAACUCUCCUUCCCUUAUUUUGUAUUUCAGUUUCUCUUCCAAUGGCAGCCUAUAAAAUUCCUCCACCUCGUGCUUCAGUUUCUCCAGCAGUGAUGAGCUAACCCCAUGGUUCACCAACUGCACCGGUAUCACCAUAUCCAUUCAUUAACUACACUCAAUCAUACAUGCAUAUAUAUAUAAAAUUUAGUUUUGGAGAGUGAAGCAGAAAAACCUGAAAGAUGCCCCAGUCUUGGCAAGUAGAGUGCAACUUGUGGAGCUCAAGGUUCUGGUGGUCAUCUUCCAAAAGCAAACGAGACAUGUCGAUGGUUGGUGGCAAAGGAGUGGUGACAGACAAGGAAGGAGGUUGUUGGUUUAUACGAACAAAUGGUUGUGGGAUUGAGAAAUCCUGUGCUGCUAAUUUAACAAGUUCCUGGACGCUAAAUGUUGAAGGAUCGAAGGCAGAGGUGCUAAAAUCAUCUUCCGUGUAUGAUGAUGAUGACCCCAUAGUGUUAAGGAAGGAGUCAGCCUCUUCAAUCUACAACAUACAGCCUAUUGUUGGAGAUAUUUAAAGGGGAAAACAAAGGUUACAGCUGUUUUCGUAUGAGGUAAGAAUACAGAUAGGUAUAAAAGAAGAUAUUGACAUAGAAACAUGAUAAUUUUAAUAAAAAAAAUGGAAAUAGGGUAUUACAAUAUAUUUUUUUAUAAAUAUUUUACAAAUGUAAUUUAUAAAAGUAAGUUGGUCGAAAUUGAACAAUUACUGAUGAAUCUUGAAUCCCAAUUGUUGAAAAUUUAUGAAUGAAAACAUAAUCAAUAUGAGAUCAACAUAAGAUUAUAAUACACAAAAGAGACGAUAUUAAACUUGGUUUGACUCCUUAAUUUUAGAAAAAACAUUAUGACUUAUAACUUUACCAAUAAAGCUACAAACCCCUCAAAUAUUUUGAUAGAAUUACAAGGCCUUACGAAAACAUCAUGUAGCUAUUACAACUCUCC
rnacentral:lncRNA from 1 species